rnacentral:rRNA from 1 species
GUGUUAGUGGAAGCGUCUGGAAAGGCGCGCGAUACAGGGUGACAGCCCCGUACACAAAAAUGCACAUACUGUGAGCUCGAUGAGUAGGGCGGGACACGUGGUAUCCUGUCUGAAUAUGGGGGGACCAUCCUCCAAGGCUAAAUACUCCUGACUGACCGAUAGUGAACCAGUACCGUGAGGGAAAGGCGAAAAGAACCCCGGCGAGGGGAGUGAAAAAGAACCUGAAACCGUGUACGUACAAGCAGUGGGAGCACGCUUAGGCGUGUGACUGCGUACCUUUUGUAUAAUGGGUCAGCGACUUAUAUUCUGUAGCAAGGUUAACCGAAUAGGGGAGCCGAAGGGAAACCGAGUCUUAACUGGGCGUUAAGUUGCAGGGUAUAGACCCGAAACCCGGUGAUCUAGCCAUGGGCAGGUUGAAGGUUGGGUAACACUAACUGGAGGACCGAACCGACUAAUGUUGAAAAAUUAGCGGAUGACUUGUGGCUGGGGGUGAAAGGCCAAUCAAACCGGGAGAUAGCUGGUUCUCCCCGAAAGCUAUUUAGGUAGCGCCUCGUGAAUUCAUCUCCGGGGGUAGAGCACUGUUUCGGCAAGGGGGUCAUCCCGACUUACCAACCCGAUGCAAACUGCGAAUACCGGAGAAUGUUAUCACGGGAGACACACGGCGGGUGCUAACGUCCGUCGUGAAGAGGGAAACAACCCAGACCGCCAGCUAAGGUCCCAAAGUCAUGGUUAAGUGGGAAACGAUGUGGGAAGGCCCAGACAGCCAGGAUGUUGGCUUAGAAGCAGCCAUCAUUUAAAGAAAGCGUAAUAGCUCACUGGUCGAGUCGGCCUGCGCGGAAGAUGUAACGGGGCUAAACCAUGCACCGAAGCUGCGGCAGCGACGCUGAUGCGUUGUUGGGUA